rnacentral:lncRNA from 1 species
UUCAGAUAUCAGUGAAAAGUCACAGGACAGUUCAAGAUCCAUCCUUCUGUGGCCACAAAAAUCAUAAAAGAAUCGCCCCAAAUGGAUUCUUUUCCAGUUACUGCUUUAGAAGCUUUUCUCGUGUUAUACUCUCCAGCCCGUGGGAAAAAUAAUAACACAUCUAUUGGAUUUUUUUCAUCAUGUUUACUUAAAGAGUGUGGCCGCAUAUGAUCCAGUCCUAUGGUGUGGGAUUUAAUGGGUAAGUGUCUUUGCAGGAACAAUUACUGAAUUCAUUUUCUGUUCUUCCUGUGGAAAAGCUGGGACUACUCUGUAAGAAAUGGAGUACGAACUAUGCUUCAAAUUGCAGUGUGUAACAGAAGAAUUUCUUGAG